AAGUUUAGGUUAACUUAAACCAAGGACCUUCAAAGCCCUAAAUAGGGAUAUAACCCCCUAACUCCUG
rnacentral:tRNA from 1 species